GACGCAACCUCUGAGGAGCCCUAGGCAGCAGGACCAAAGAUAAGAAUGGCUUUAGACCAGGAAACACAUCUUCUGGUGGAUUGAAGAUUCUGACUGCAGCAGCGGCAAUGCUGAGGAAGUGGGGAUUCAUUACUUUUCCAUCCAGGAAAGAAAGAAUCACCAUGAGAGAAAAAGCCUUUUUCUUGGUCACUGCUCCAUCUAGCUCCCUCCACACUUGACUUCUGCAGAAUGCCUGGCGGCUCAGAUAAAACCCCUAGAAGGAGAACAGUGAUGCUCUGAACUUAGCAUGACCUCAUCACUUCAGACGUGAGAUUCACUGCGGAAGGAGGAAGACAUCCUUCUCUCCAGCACACCCGCACUUUUUGAGAUGCAAUGGCUCUCAUUAA